AAGUUCAGUCAACUUCCCUGCUGGAAGAGCUGGCUUCCCAGUACACCUGGUGGGAACAUUAUUUCACACGGCAGAACAUACACACGUAUCAAGAAAUAACAUUAUAGAGCAAAAAGUUUUACUACUAUUAUGUGAUAAUUAAAAAUACAAAUAAUAAAAUUAAAUUAUCUUUGGAGAAGUCUAACAGGCUUCUGGAAGAAAUGGGAAAAUGGGAGAACAGAAGAAUACUAAGGACACAUAAGAAUGUGGAGAAGCAGGAAGGCAGUCAUCAGACUGGAAAGGACUUCCUAACACGUCAUAGAAGGACAAACCAAUGAAGUCUGAGACAACUUUUACACCUUUGGGUAAAGACGUCUAACUUGAGGUGUCCCAUCUUCACAUUCAGAGUCUCACUGCAGCAAGCACAGCUGCUUGAGGGAUGGAGACUAAAAUAGAAAACCAGUCACAGUGAUGAAAUGUGACA
rnacentral:lncRNA from 1 species